AAGAGCCAAUAAAGAUGCGGUGUAUGAAUAUACAAAAACAUUGGGUGUAGUACCCUUGGCUUUGAGUUGGAGAUGUUUUGCGCAAAGUAGACGUAACAACGGACUUUAAAACUCAAGAUUUUUAUUGUAGAGGACUAAAGUGGAAAAUAUAGUUGUAUAGGGGCUUAUGGGCUAUUGUUUUUACUUAGUCGGUGGAGUCCACGUGGUCCUCCAUUCUCUAUCCUCAUCCUCUCUUUUUGUUUUUUUUCUUUUAUAUAUAUUGCCAAGUUGUGAGGUAAUUAAUUAGCAGGGUAGCAUUCGGUUCGUUCGUGCGAGCGAGCAAGGCGAGCGAGCGAGUCAAGUGCGUGCGUCGUAGUAGCGCCGUUGGAGGCCGGGCGAGCGCGGAAUUUCUUCUCCUAUUGACUUCUCGCUGUUGUGGAUUAGCGUUUGAGGUGGGUGUAUCAUCGGUUUCGCUCCUAAGUGCAUGUUUAGUCGACGUGUAUAGUUCGAUUCUUGUAUAUCAUGCUUUAAUUCAUCGAUAAGCAUCUCGAAUGUAAUAUGAAUGUAGAAGCAUGCUGAAAUGAAUAUUUAUAUUAU
rnacentral:lncRNA from 1 species